rnacentral:rRNA from 1 species
AUUGAAUGCUGGCGGCAUGCUUUACACAUGCAAGUCGAACGGCAGCGCGGGCUUCGGCCUGGCGGCGAGUGGCGAACGGGUGAGUAAUACAUCGGAACGUGCCCAGUAGUGGGGGAUAGCUCGGCGAAAGCCGGAUUAAUACCGCAUACGACCUGAGGGUGAAAGCGGGGGAUCUUCGGACCUCGCGCUAUUGGAGCGGCCGAUGGCAGAUUAGCUAGUUGGUGGGGUAAAGGCCUACCAAGGCGACGAUCUGUAGCUGGUCUGAGAGGACGACCAGCCACACUGGGACUGAGACACGGCCCAGACUCCUACGGGAGGCAGCAGUGGGGAAUUUUGGACAAUGGGCGAAAGCCUGAUCCAGCAAUGCCGCGUGUGUGAUGAAGGCCUUCGGGUUGUAAAGCACUUUUGGCGGGAACGAAAAGGACUGUGCCAAUACCACGGUUCGAUGACGGUACCCGCAGAAUAAGCACCGGCUAACUACGUG